rnacentral:rRNA from 1 species
ACUCCUACGGGAGGCAGCAGUGGGAAUAUUGACAAUAGGGAACCGGACUGAUGCAGCCAUGCCGCGUGUGUGAAGAAGGCCUUCGGGUUGUAAAGCACUUUCAGUAGGGAGGAAGGUAGUGUAGUUAACACCUGCAUUAUUUGACGUUACCUACAGAAGAAGCACCGGCUAACUCCGUGCCAGCAGCCGCGGUAAUACGGAGGGUGCGAGCGUUAAUCGGAAUUACUGGGCGUAAAGCGCAUGCAGGCGGCCUGUUAAGUCAGAUGUGAAAGCCCGGGGCUUAACCUCGGAAUUGCAUUUGAAACUGGCAGGCUAGAGUCUUGUAGAGGGGGUGAGAAUUGAUCAGGUG